rnacentral:rRNA from 1 species
CGCUGGCGGCAGGCCUAACACAUGCAAGUCGAACGGUAACAGGAAGAAGCUUGCUUCUUUGCUGACGAGUGGCGGACGGGUGAGUAAUGUCUGGGAAACUGCCUGAUGGAGGGGGAUAACUACUGGAAACGGUAGCUAAUACCGCAUAACGUCGCAAGACCAAAGAGGGGGACCUUCGGGCCUCUUGCCAUCGGAUGUGCCCAGAUGGGAUUAGCUAGUAGGUGGGGUAACGGCUCACCUAGGCGACGAUCCCUAGCUGGUCUGAGAGGAUGACCAGCCACACUGGAACUGAGACACGGUCCAGACUCCUACGGGAGGCAGCAGUGGGGAAUAUUGCACAAUGGGCGCAAGCCUGAUGCAGCCAUGCCGCGUGUAUGAAGAAGGCCUUCGGGUUGUAAAGUACUUUCAGCGGGGAGGAAGGGAGUAAAGUUAAUACCUUUGCUCAUUGACGUUACCCGCAGAAGAAGCACCGGCUAACUCCGUGCCAGCAGCCGCGGUAAUACGGAGGGUGCAAACGUUAAUCGGAAUUACUGGGCGUAAAGCGCACGCAGGCGGUUUGUUAAGUCAGAUGUGAAAUCCCCGGGCUCAACCUGGGAACUGCAUCUGAUACUGGCAAGCUUGAGUCUCGUAGAGGGGGGUAGAAUUCCAGGUGUAGCGGUGAAAUGCGUAGAGAUCUGGAGGAAUACCGGUGGCGAAGGCGGCCCCCUGGACGAAGACUGACGCUCAGGUGCGAAAGCGUGGGGAGCAAACAGGAUUAGAUACCCUGGUAGUCCACGCCGUAAACGAUGUCGACUUGGAGGUUGUGCCCUUGAGGCGUGGCUUCCGGAGCUAACGCGUUAAGUCGACCGCCUGGGGAGUACGGCCGCAAGGUUAAAACUCAAAUGAAUUGACGGGGGCCCGCACAAGCGGUGGAGCAUGUGGUUUAAUUCGAUGCAACGCGAAGAACCUUACCUGGUCUUGACAUCCACGGAAGUUUUCAGAGAUGAGAAUGUGCCUUCGGGAACCGUGAGACAGGUGCUGCAUGGCUGUCGUCAGCUCGUGUUGUGAAAUGUUGGGUUAAGUCCCGCAACGAGCGCAACCCUUAUCCUUUGUUGCCAGCGGUCCGGCCGGGAACUCAAAGGAGACUGCCAGUGAUAAACUGGAGGAAGGUGGGGAUGACGUCAAGUCAUCAUGGCCCUUACGACCAGGGCUACACACGUGCUACAAUGGCGCAUACAAAGAGAAGCGACCUCGCGAGAGCAAGCGGACCUCAUAAAGUGCGUCGUAGUCCGGAUUGGAGUCUGCAACUCGACUCCAUGAAGUCGGAAUCGCUAGUAAUCGUGGAUCAGAAUGCCACGGUGAAUACGUUCCCGGGCCUUGUACACACCGCCCGUCACACCAUGGGAGUGGGUUGCAAAAGAAGUAGGUAGCUUAACCUUCGGGAGGGCGCUUACCACUUUGUGAUUCAUGACUG